rfam:Chaetura pelagica isolate M959 contig51240, whole genome shotgun sequence.
AAAACUGCUCUUUUAGGAGCAAUCAAAUUAUUUACAUAGAUUUUUAG